UACGUAGGGGGCAAGCGUUGUCCGGAAUUAUUGGGCGUAAAGCGCGCGCAGGCGGCUGUUUAAGUUCGGUGUUUAAGCCCGGGGCUCAACCCCGGUUCGCACCGGAAACUGGAUGGCUUGAGUGCAGGAGAGGGAAGUGGAAUUCCACGUGUAGCGGUGAAAUGCGUAGAGAUGUGGAGGAACACCAGUGGCGAAGGCGACUUCCUGGCCUGAAACUGACGCUGAGGCGCGAAAGCGUGGGGAGCAAACAGG
rnacentral:rRNA from 1 species